GGAAUAUAGAAAACUAUCUCUAACUUUUAACUAAAAAAACUAAGAACCGGCUCUUAAAUAAAAUAUUUAAGAGCCGGUUUUUAGUUUUUUAGUUAAAAAUUAAGAGACAGUUUCUUAUAUUCC
rfam:Brassica napus, WGS project CCCW01000000 data, contig: 12154